AUGAGUAGGGCGGGACACGUGGUAUCCUGUCUGAAUAUGGGGGGCCCAUCCUCCAAGGCUAAAUACUCCUGACUGACCGAUAGUGAACCAGUACCGUGAGGGAAAGGCGAAAAGAACCCCGGCGAGGGGAGUGAAAAAGAACCUGAAACCGUGUACGUACAAGCAGUGGGAGCACGCUUAGGCGUGUGACUGCGUACCUUUUGUAUAAUGGGUCAGCGACUUAUAUUCUGUAGCAAGGUUAACCGAAUAGGGGAGCCGAAGGGAAACCGAGUCUUAACUGGGCGUUAAGUUGCAGGGUAUAGACCCGAAACCCGGUGAUCUAGCCAUGGGCAGGUUGAAGGUUGGGUAACACUAACUGGAGGACCGAACCGACUAAUGUUGAAAAAUUAGCGGAUGACUUGUGGCUGGGGGUGAAAGGCCAAUCAAACCGGGAGAUAGCUGGUUCUCCCCGAAAGCUAUUUAGGUAGCGCCUCGUGAAUUCAUCUCCGGGGGUAGAGCACUGUUUCGGCAAGGGGGUCAUCCCGACUUACCAACCCGAUGCAAACUGCGAAUACCGGAGAAUGUUAUCACGGGAGACACACGGCGGGUGCUAACGUCCGUCGUGAAGAGGGAAACAACCCAGACCGCCAGCUAAGGUCCCAAAGUCAUGGUUAAGUGGGAAACGAUGUGGGAAGGCCCAGACAGCCAGGAUGUUGGCUUAGAAGCAGCCAUCAUUUAAAGAAAGCGUAAUAGCUCACUGGUCGAGUCGGCCUGCGCGGAAGAUGUAACGGGGCUAAACCAUGCACCGAAGCUGCGG
rnacentral:rRNA from 1 species